AACUGAGAUAGAGGCGCGAUGAUUAAUAGUAUCUUUGCAGAGGUAAGCACAUUGAAGCAAAGUGAAAGGAUGAAUCGCCGAAACCAUUAGAAGAGGCUUUAAUUCUAUUAGGUUGGGGUUGCAUAGAAUAUAUGUAACACUGUCACAAAUUAUUUUGUGGUGUGCUAUCAUGAAA
rfam:Clostridium perfringens str. 13 DNA, complete genome.